GACGGGGGAUGCAAGUGUUAUCCGGAAUCACUGGGCGUAAAGCGUCUGCAGGUGGUUUCCUAAGUCCACUGUUAAACCUUGAGGCUCAACCUCAAAUCUGCAUUGGAAACUAGGAGACUUGAGUAUAGUAGGGGUAGAGGGAAUUUCCAGUGGAGCGGUGAAAUGCGUAGAUAUUGGAAAGAACCCCGAUGGCGAAGGCACUCUACUGGGCUAUUACUGACACUCAGAGACGAAAGCUAGGGGAGCAAAUGGG
rnacentral:rRNA from 1 species